AAUUUAUGGCCCUGUGAACCUGGUCUACCCUCUAGUAGGGUAUGUGCUGGUGUGCACGGGUCAUUUUUCUGGAGAACAAGUUUGCCCUUGAUUGGGAUGGGCUUGUGAUUCAGAUCAUUUACUGUGAGAAAAUCAGAGUGUUCAAAGCAGGCAGCAAUGCUUGUAUGGUUCAGCAUGGAAUAAUAAGAUAAGACUUCGGUUUUAUUUUGUUGGCUAUAGAACCAAAGUAAUGAUUGAAAGGGAUAGUUGGGGGUGCUAGUAUUCAGUGGUCAGCGGUGAAAUGCGAGGACCCAUUGAAGACUAACUUAUGCGAAAGCAUU
rnacentral:rRNA from 1 species